UACGGAGGGUGCAAGCGUUAUCCGGAUUUACUGGGUUUAAAGGGCGCGUAGGCGGAUGUUUAAGUCGAACGUGAAAUCCCCGGGCUCAACCCGGGAACUGCGUCCGAUACUGGCAGGCUUGAAUUCGGGAGAGGGAUGCGGAAUUCCAGGUGUAGCGGUGAAAUGCGUAGAUAUCUGGAGGAACACCGGUGGCGAGGGCGGCAUCCUGGACCGAGAUUGACGCUGAGGCGCGAAAGCCAGGGGAGCAAACGGG
rnacentral:rRNA from 1 species